AGAGUUUGAUCCUGGCUCAGAACGAACGCUGGCGGCGUGCCUAACACAUGCAAGUCGAACGGAGAUAAGGGGCUUGCUCCUUAUUUUAGUGGCGCACGGGUGAGUAACGCGUGGAUAAUCUACCUUGGAAUCUGGGAUAACAUCUCGAAAGGGGUGCUAAUACCGGAUAAGACCACGAGCUCUUCGGAGUUUGCGGUAAAAGGGGGCCUCUGUAUAUGCUUCUGUUUCAAGAUGAGUCCGCGUACCAUUAGCUAGUUGGCAGGGUAAUGGCCUACCAAGGCGACGAUGGUUAGCUGGUCUGAGAGGAUGAUCAGCCACACUGGAACUGAGACACGGUCCAGACUCCUACGGGAGGCAGCAGUGGGGAAUUUUGCGCAAUGGGGGAAACCCUGACGCAGCAACGCCGCGUGAGUGAUGAAGGCCUUCGGGUCGUAAAGCUCUGUCAGAGGGAAAGAAGUGUGGGAGGGUUAAUACCCCCUUCACUUGACGGUACCCUCAAAGGAAGCACCGGCUAACUCCGUGCCAGCAGCCGCGGUAAUA
rnacentral:rRNA from 1 species